rnacentral:rRNA from 1 species
AGAGUUUGAUCCUGGCUCAGAACGAACGCUGGCGGCGUGGAUAAGACAUGCAAGUUGAACGCUAAUUUCAGUGUAGCAAUAUAUUGGAGUUGGAGUAGCGCAAGGGUGCGUAACACGUGGGUAAUUUGCCAUGAAGUUGGGGAUAACUCGCUGAAAGGCGAGCUAAUACCGGAUGUGAAGUUUGGGUGGCAUCACCUGACCUUUAAAGCUGGGGAUCGUAAGACCUGGCGCUUUAUGAUAAGCCCGCGGCCUAUCAGCUAGUUGGUGAGGUAACGGCUCACCAAGGCUAAGACGGGUAGCUGGUCUGAGAGGACGACCAGCCACACUGGAACUGAGACACGGUCCAGACACCUACGGGUGGCAGCAGUCGAGAAUUUUUCUCAAUGGGCGCAAGCCUGAAGGAGCGACGCCGCGUGGGGGAUGAAGGGUUUCGAUCCGUAAACCCCUGUCAUUUGUGAACAAUGGUUACCGUUGAACAUUCGGUAACUUGAUAGUAAUGAAAGAGGAAGGGACGGCUAACUCUGUGCCAGCAGCCGCGGUAAU